rnacentral:rRNA from 1 species
AUUGAACGCUGUCGGCAGGCUUAACACAUGCAAGUCGAACGAGUGGCGGACGGGUGAGUAAUUCUUGGUAAUCUCGCUUAUGGAGGGGGAUAACUACUGGAAACUGUAGCUAAUACCGCGUCCCAUAGGCUGAGCCCAGGUGGGAGUGGGUAGUUGGUGAGGUAACGGCUCACCAAGCCGACGAUCUCUCGCUGGUCUUAGAGGAUGACCAGCCACACUGGGACUGAGACACGGCCCAGACUCCUACGGGAGGCAGAAGUGGGGAAUAUUGCGCAAUGGGGGCAACCUGACGCAGCCAUGCCGCGUGAAUGAAGAAGGCCUUCGGGUUGUAAAGUACUUUCGGUAGCGAGGCGUUAACUACAGAAGAAGCACCGGCUAACUCCGUGCCAGCAGCCGCGGUAAUAC